rnacentral:ncRNA from 1 species
GAAAGUAGAGGUCGCAAUCUUAAAGAGUAAUCAGGCGGACGUUUAUGCGCGUGUGAUGUCUGACAAAAGGGAAGAUUGCCGAAGUGAGAUCACCGCAUAAUGUGAUUGAAGCUGGGCAGGCAGUGAACAACUGUCUGACUGUCAUCGUUUGAUGGGGAGCUACUU